CUUUUGGCCACAGACUCAAGACAUUGAGAAUCAGAUUCAACCUUUUCAUGAGAAGAGCUGCAAGGGGGCACUGAGUUCAAGAGCUUGGAGGAAGAAUGCCUCAGUUCACAUCUUUAUAACCUGAGCCUCUUGUGAUUUCAAGUCAAGUGAGUGAGAGGACAACGCUUGUCACUGGGCAGCUGACUCUUCAGCGGUUGAAUUCGUUUUGCUUCUUCGGCUGGUUCUGUGUUUCAGUCACUGGGAGAGAUUGUUAUUUCCCUCUCCAGGGGUCAGCAGAGCUGAGAAAGUCAACUUGCCCCCAGGGAGACGCUGUGCUCCGGGGGCGAAGGAACUCUGCACAUCUGUUCCACAUGCCCGACUCAUCCGGGAGGUAUUGCCUGGGCUGCUGGAUUCCUGCAGGUUACAGGGAUAAUGACGACAACUGUGUGGGACCAGUUUUCAGCAAGCUCAUGAGCUGAAACAUUUUGGGAACUGUUAAAAUAAGACACACGUACGAUUUCAGACAGGCUUUUAAAUGGCAGCCUAAAACAGCUGCUCUUGCCAUAGGCUGCAUUUGUGGGCUUUAAAACCAUAAAAAUUAGAAGCUGCCCCAUGAAUAAUACACUGACUCAGUUCUAUGAGUCACAGCGAAGAGUGACUGUGUCUACACCUUUUAAUACCCUGCAGAUUGACUGGGUGUCUCUCACUGGAUGGGUCUCUGUAGAAAUGGAAUCCGUAGGAGAAUGGUGUCCUCAGCUUCUCCCACUUUUCAGGCUGGCUCUUUUCUAGUCAGAUGGCUCUUGCCUGGCUUUGAAAUUGUUCUCCAUUGUUAAGUCUUCAGGUAAAAGUAGAACACUUGUGAAACUCUUAGAAGAGACCCCUGGUGUCUGGCGAAAGCUGGAUUAUGAAAGUAGAAAUGGGCGCAAACCCAGCCUUACCCACAGUUGGCUUUGCUUUCUGAUGGGCCAUCUCAGGGGAUUUACUGUUAACGCCACCUCUCCUAAACACCUGUGUCCAUACUAGUAUUUUUAAUCUCUAAAAUACUUCCAUGUAAUCACACUCAGAAGAAUAUAAUUUCACACUGAUUCUGCUAGUCUUUUAAAGCACAUUUAAACAUUCCAUAAAACUUAAGUCUUGUUUUAAAGUAGGUAUUUCGCUUUUUGAGGGCAGGGGCCAUGUCUUAAAUUUCUCAUUUCUUCUACAAUCCCUAGCACGAAGCUCAACACAUAUCCUUUGAUUCUUAUCAGUCAAUUUUGUCACAAACGAGUAACCCACAAAUUUGUUGCAUUCAGUAGUUUUUGGUUCGGUCUGGUUUUGCCUCACUGCAAAGUUGUAAAAGGCAAAGAUGUUACAAGGGGCAUCAUGUAAGCAGCCUAGCGCGGAUGGCAUGCACCUGGCACUUCGUAUGUUUCUGUGGCCUUCACUCACAGUUUGAGUUUACUCAAAGGCUUUUAUACCACUUAGUAGUCCCAAUGGAGUCUAUACAGAGUAGGUGCUAAAUAUGCGUUUGUAGGCAACUGAGACUAAUAUUCUCAGUUGCGCCGUUUAUCACGGGUAUUUUCCUAGAAGGAUGUGCCACACAGCUCUAGUCCUAAUCUCCAUGUAACCCUGAAUUAUAAUCAUGGAUCUCUUUUUACUUUUUAUCCUUUAUAGUAAUCAUCAAAGAUAGAACAAGCUUCUAAAAUACCUCCAAAGUUUGACUCCUUGCCUCUCUCCUCUCCAAAAAACUUCUUUUUUGUUAAGCAUCUGUCUGCUUUUCUUUUAAGCUAGCCGGGUGUUCUGAAUUAUUUCAACUGCAGGGGAGGGACUGUGGCAAGAGUGGACUUAGAUACAUCUGGUAGUGCCAUGUUCCUUAACAGAUAGCUCUUUAGCACCUACUCUGUACAUUGUAUCAAGUAAACACCCCUGGCAACUCAUGGUUCCUGCUUUAAGGAGCUUUCAGACUAGCUGACCAAGUACCACAUACAUGCAUGAAAUACAGAAAAUUCAAGACCCUAUGUAAAAUACAAAAGUAGCAGUAUGUGCUAUGAUUCCAAGGAAGGCAAUGUAUUCUGAAGAGUAAGGAGAAGGUUUUAGCAGGAAGUAGGUAGUGAGUUCUGGCUUUGAGCAGGAGUAGAAUUUGUAGAGGUAAAAUUGAGCAUCAAAUAGACACCAAGAGCAGGAGAACAUAUGUAGUGAGAAGACUUGAAGUUUUAGAGUCCCAGAUAACCCAAUACUUAUUAUUGUAUCACAAGUUUCUGAAUCUCAUUCCUCAGUUGAAAAAUACCUGAUGGCAUUGGCAUGAGGAUUAAGUAUGAAAAUGUCAGGUUUAGAGGAAAAAGAUGCAUAGUAGGUGAUCAGUAAUUGCUUGUUAGCUUUUUAGCAACUGUCAAAAUGGAUCAAAGCAAGUAUGUAGGGCAGGGGGCAGGACUGUAACUGGGACCUAGAGGCAGCAAGGGGACCUGAGCAGGGAGAGACCUGGGUCCCCAUUAGGUCACCUGUUGGAGAGC